CUAGGACAUGCCGGGAGGGUGCCUCUCCCACCACCCCCACGCCUCCCUGCCUUUGCAGUUCUGGACUGCAGACUCCUCUGCUCCACCUGCCCUCAGGCACCUGCUUGAUCCCUGCCCACCUUGAGGGCUCAGCUCUGACACCAUCUCCCCUCACAGUUCUGGCAGUGUGCUAUGCUCUAUUCCAGCCCCCUGUGCCCCAGAUCCCUUCCCCACCCCCAUGCCAUGGUCCCUUGAAGGACAGACAGGAGGGCGAGCCCAAGCAGGAGUGUGGGUCGAAGAGGCCACGGCGCGGUGGAGCACGUACACACGGGCAAGAGAAAGGAGCCAGAGACCUACAUUCAAAGCCUGAGGGCUUCGGGACUGGGGGCCGGGACAGGCAGUGCGCCGGGAUGAAGGGAGGCACGGGUGGGUGGCCCCACGGGUCCCAGGUCCUGUGCAGGUGCAGGGUCGGCUUUGUGGACAUGCCCCUGUCCUCGUGGCACAGCAGGGUGGGGGUCAGCCUGCAGGCUGGGCUGUUUCUCACCCCAGGAAGAUGCCUGGCAUACACGGGACAUCAGCGGCUCCUCUGCUGGAGGGAAUCAUGUCUUUUUUUUUUUGAGACAGAGUCUCGCUCUGUCGCCCAGGCUGGAGUGCAGUGGCGCGGUCUCCGCUCACUGCAAGCUCCGCCUCCCGGGUUCACGCCAUUCUCCUGCCUCAGCCUCCUGAGUAGCUGGGACUACAGGUGCCCACCACCACGCCCGGCUAAUUUUUUUGUAUUUUCAGUAGAGACGGGGUUUCACCGUGUUAGCCAGGAUGGUCUCGAUCUCCUGACCUCGUGAUCCGGCCGCCUCGGCCUCCCAAAGUGCUGGGAUUACAGGCGUGAGCCACAGCACCUGGCGGGGAAUCAUGUCUAAGCCAAGACUGGAGAAAAAGUGGCCAAGAGAAGGGUCCAG
rnacentral:lncRNA from 10 species